CCAGCGACGCCGCGGGCUCCGAGGUCCUCCCCCGCCGACCAAGAGGCGUCCGGGUCUCCACUUGACCCGGCGUGGAAUAGUGGGUUUCAGAUCUGUGAAUGUCUAAGAAGUGCGGGACACGUUUCUGAUCUUGCGGGGUCUCUUUCUUUCCCUUUUUAGACAAACAUUUCUUCGUGUGCUGUUUAUAGAACACCUAUCGAGGCCCAGCUCCAGUGCUUGCGGACGCAUGACAAUGGGAAACAGCCCCUACUUUAGAGGGUCUCCCAGACAGUCGGGUGCAGAAGGAAACAGAGGAGGAGACACCAGGGAUAUGCAUGUACACAGAAAAGGUCAUGUGAGGACACAGCAAGAAUGUGACCAUUUCCAAGCCAAGGAGAGAGACUACAGGAUAAACCAAACCUGCUGAUACCUUGUUCUGGGACUUCCAGCCUCCAGAACUGUGAGAAACUUACAUGCUUUAAUGAAGCCAAGCGUCCAUGUCAGUGAGCCCCACGUGGCAGAGAACUAAGGGAGGCCUCCAGCCAAAAGCCAGUGAGGAACUAAAUCCAGCCAACAACCAUGUGAGUCAGCCUGGAAGCAAAUCAUUUCCCUCUUGAGGCUUGUGAUGACCGUAGCCCCAUUUGAUACCUUGACUACAGCCUGUGAAGCAGAGGACUCAGUUAAGCCAGCCCAGACUCCUGACCCACAGAAACUAUGAGACAAUAAAUAAGAAAGAGACUGGGGAAGGAGCAUAAGCACCCUUGAUUCUGGGCAGCUUCUGAGAAGGGCAGCUGAGGACCUAUAUCACCUUAAGCCCGUGAAAUUUGGGUUAUAGAUGUCUUAAAGGACGAGCAGAGUUCUGACAGGCAAAGAAAAGGAAACAGACAUUCUAAACUGAGAGAACAGCACAAGGAAAAAUUCAGAGCUCUGAACAUAAAUCAUUUCUUUAGGGGAAGGCAAGUCGUCUUGUGUGACAGGACAGGAGUACAAACUAGUUAAUACUUCCUACUCUGAUUCUGAUUUAGUCCCUAGAGCAAUGAUUCUCAAACUUUUUGUGUCAGUUUCCCUUUACACUCAAAAAUUAUUGGUGACCUUGGGGACUUCCCCAGCAGUCCAGUGGUUAAGACUCCGGCUUCCACUGCAGGGGGUGCGGGUUCGAUCCCUGGUCAGGGAACUAAGAUCCUGCAUGCCGCACGGCGCGGCUAAAAAAAAAAAAAAAAAUUAUUGGUGACCUCAAAGAACUUUU